rnacentral:rRNA from 1 species
GCUGGGUUUAGAACGUCGUGAGACAGUUCGGUCCCUAUCUGCCGUGGGCGUUGGAGAAUUGGUUGGGGCUGCUCCUAGUACGAGAGGACCGGAGUGGACGCACCACUGGUGUUCCGGUUGUGUCGCCAGACGCAUUGCCGGGUAGCUAAGUGCGGAAGAGAUAAGUGCUGAAAGCAUCUAAGCACGAAACUUGCCAAGAGAUGAGUUCUCCCAGGUUAUAAACCUGUAAGGGUUGUUUAAGACUAAGACGUAGAUAGGCAGGGUGUGUAAGUGAUGUGAGUCAUUGAGCUAACCUGUACUAAUUGCCCGAGAGGCUUAACUAUACAACGCUCAAG